GGAAGAGUCAAGUCAAGGCCAGAGGUCCCACAGCAGGGCUGGAAAGCACACCUGUGGGACUUCUGGCCUUGACUUGACUCUUUC
rnacentral:pre_miRNA from 1 species